UAAAGGAUUAGAGAGACCUGCACCAUAUCUGUCUCAGCCGAGCUCAGUGGUGUCUGCACCAUGGCCUGGACUCUUCUCCUCUUCUUCCUCCUUCAUUGUACAGGGUCUUUCUCCCAACCUGUGCCGAUUCAGUCACCCUCAGCCUUUGCCUCCCUGGGGGCCUCAGUCAAACUCACCUGCACCUUGAGUAGUCAGCACAGCACCAACAACAUUGGUUGGUACCAGCAACAUCCAGACAAGGCUCCUAAGCAUGUGAUGCAUCUUCUGAGUGAUGGAAGCUACAGCAAGGGGGAUGGGAUGCCUGACCGCUUCUCUGGCUCCAGCUCUGGGCCUCAUCGCUACUUAAGCAUCUCCAACACCCAGCCUGAAGAUGAAGCUAUCUAUUACUGUGGUGUAGGUGAUAGCAAUGGAUGGGUGUUCGGCAAAGGCACCAUAUUGACUGUCCUAGGUAAGUGACUCUUUCCUCUUCUGUUACUACAAUCUCUAAGGUUUGAGAUGAUUUUUUUGUUCAAUUAUUUCUCUAUUGUACUUCAUGCUUAAACUUCAUUCUAGGUAAAUAAUCUCUUGCUUCUCUAUUUUCUGCAGCUCACCUCAGAUGGUUCCCUGUCACCUUUCAUGUCUAAUCUCAAAGACAGGGGCAAAAAAAAGAUAACCUGUAAAUAUGUGUCUGUCAUUCUGUUGAGAUAUGCAGUGCUCUGAUAAGUACUCCACUGUGUCACUCUCUAUGAGUGUCUAUCUUUCUAGUGAAUUUUGUGAGGGUUAAAGUGAAUUACUAUCUCAUGGGGAAGGAAGGCCAGAGGCACAGAGGAGAGGCAGCUGGUGAGUUAGGAGAACAUAGAACACUCAGCGCUGAGGCUGGUGAAUAACAUGUCAGAGUUUAGGUAAGCUGGAGAGUGGAACUCGGGAUUCAGUUCCUAGGACAGGCAGAAGAAAGGAUCCCCAAGCUCCCAUGGAAAGCCAUGAACAGAGCAGUAACCAAGCCAGAACUCAGGAAUUUUAGUAAGGAGAAGAAAGGUAAGGGAGCUCUGGACACAGGAAGUCAAGAGAGAGAGACUGAAGCUGCAGUUGGGAAGCUGGGUUCCUGGGUCUCUCUAAGAUACUGGUUAGGAAACAGAGCAACUGCAUUCACAUAGCUCUGGUCCUGAUGCAUGAAAAUUACACAACUCAUCCAGAGAAGGGAUCUCACCUCAGUCUGCAGAAUCGAGAAACAGUUUACCCAGAUCCAUGCUAUACUAAGCAGAGGCCAGGGAUCUACAUGUCACAGAUUUGGGUGAAAACAAACUCCUAGUUUUAACGUUUUAGACUCAGGACAGGUUUUACCUCAGAACUGUCCUCAGAGUGGGACAGACAGACUACAGACAAAUAU